AACGAACGCUGGCGGCGCGCUUAACACAUGCAAGUCGAACGAGAAGGCGUAGCAAUACGCUUGUAAAGUGGCGAACGGGUGAGGAAUACAUGGGUAACCUACCCUCGAGUGGGGGAUAACCCGCCGAAAGGCGGGCUAAUACCGCGUACGCUUCCGAUCUUGCGGGAUCGGAAGGAAAGCUGUCCCUUGGGGAUGGCGCUCAAGGAUGGGCUCAUGUCCUAUCAGCUUGUUGGUAGGGAACGGCCUACCAAGGCAUCGACGGGUAGCUGGUCUGAGAGGACGAUCAGCCACACUGGCACUGCGACACGGGCCAGACUCCUACGGGAGGCAGCAGUGAGGAAUAUUGCGCAAUGGGCGAAAGCCUGACGCAGCGACGCCGCGUGGGGGAGUGAAGGUCUUCGGAUUGUAAACCCCUUUCGGUUGGGAAGACGGCCCUAGACAACUAGGGCGGACGGUACCGCCAGAAGCAGCCACGGCUAACUUCGUGCCAGCCGCCGCCGUAAC
rnacentral:rRNA from 1 species